rnacentral:rRNA from 1 species
AUUGAACGCUGGCGGCAGGCUUAACACAUGCAAGUCGAGCGAGUGGCGGACGGGUGAGUAAUGUCUGGGAAACUGCCUGUUGGAUGGGGAUAACUCCUGGAAACGGUAUCUUCUACCGCAUUCCAUCACAUGUGCCCAGAUGGGAUUAGCUAGUAGGUGGGGUAAGGGCUCACCUAUGCGCCGAUCCCUCGCUGGUCUGAGAGGAUGACCAGCCACACUGGAGCUGAGACACGGUCCAGACUCCUACGGGAGGCAGCAGUGGGGAAUAUUGCACAAUGGGCGCAAGCCUGAUGCAGCCAUGCCGCGUGUGAAGAAGGCCUUCGGGUUGUAAAGCACUUUCAGCGAGGAGGCGUUACUCGCAGAAGAAGCACCGGCUAACUCCGUGCCAGCAGCCGCGGUAAUAC